rnacentral:lncRNA from 1 species
CAGCCAUGGACAGCCUUCUUGGCAGUGGUGAUCUUUAAUUUGCAACUCCUGCCAUCUCAAUUUGCUUCUGCUAUUUGAAACAUGUUUCAAGGUAUUAAUGAAAGAGAUUAAGAUUGGCAAGGCCAUAGAGACUCCUGAUUGCAAAGGCAGGCAGCAAAAUGGCUGAUAACUUUAAAACGUCUGGCGGGUUAGUAGUGAAAACGUCACUGAUCAUCAGAGGUGUGUUUUUCCAUUUCUGGUAGUGCGCUAAAACCUCACCAAUUCUAGUAAGUCUUUAAUAAAAUUGGAAAAUUUCCCAAUGGUAAACUGCGGUAGUAAAUAUUAUAGUGGACAAAGGGAUAACAUAGACUACUUAGUUAAAUUAAGUAUGUUCAAUGAAAGCAAACAUGUCACAGCCGGGCUAGGGUACAUGUAUUUUCUAAACUUUAAAAUAUAAAGUUAUUGGUUUUUAAUGAUUUUUAUUUUUUUCCAUUGUAGCAUUUACAGUGUCCUGUCAUUUUCUACUAUACAGCAAGGUGACCUAGUCACACAUUCAUAUAAACAUUCUUUUUUCUCACAUUAUCAUGUUCCAUCAUAAGUGACUAGAUGUAGUUCCCAGUGCUAUACAGCAGGAUCUCCUUGCUUAUCCACUCCAAAGGCAAUAGUUUGCAUCUCUUAACCCCAGACUCCCAAUCCAUCCCACUCCCUCCCCUUUGGCAACCACAGGUCAGUUCUCCAAGUCCAUGAGUUUCUUUCCUGUGGAAAAGUUCAUUUGUGCUCUAUAUUAGAUUCCAGAUAUAAGUGAUAUCAUAUGGUAUUUGUCUUUCUCUUUAUGACUUACUUCACUCAGUAUGAGUCUCUAGUUCCAUCCAUGUUGCUGCAAAUGGCACGAUUUUGUUCUUUUUUAUGGCUGAGUAGGAUUCCAUUGUGUAUAUAUACCACAUCUUCCUAAUCCAUUCAUCUGUCAAUGGACAUUGAGGUUGUUUCCAUGUCUUGGCUAUUGUGAUAAUGCUGCAGUGAACAUAUGGGUGCGUGUGUCUAUUUCAAAGAAAGUUUUGUCUGGAUAUAUGCCCAAGAAUUGGAUUGCUGGGUCAUAUGAUAGUUCUAUGUAUAGUUUUCUAAGGUACCGCCAUACUGGUUUCCACAGUGGUUGUACCAAUUUACAUUCCCACCAACAGUGCAGGAGGGUUCCCUCUUCUCCACACCCUCUCCAGCAUUUGUUAUUUGUGGACUUAUUAAUGAUGGCCAUUCUGACUGGUGUGAGGUAGUACCUCAGAGUAGUUUUGAUUUGCAUUUCUCUAAUAAUCAGUGAUGCUGAGCAUUUUUUCAUGUGCUUGUUGUCCAUCUGUGUAUCUUCUUUGGAGGAAUGUCUAUUCAGGUCUUUUGCCCAUUUUUCAAUUGGGCUGUUGGCGUUUUUGCUAUUGAGGUCUUUAAGUUGUUUGUAUAUUUUAGAGAUUAAGUUCUUGUCAGUUGCAUCAUUCAAAAUUACUUUCUCCCAUUCCAAAGGUUGUCUUUUUGGUUUUUUUUUAAUAGUUUCCUUUGCUAUGCAAAAGUUUGUCAGUUUGAUUAGGUCCUCUUGGUUUAUUUUUGCUUUUAUUUUCUGUUGCUGUGGGAGACUGACCUGGGCAAACAUGUGUAAGGUGGAUUUAUGGUGUGAGCCAAGAAUAAAAGAUGCUCUUUGUUUUAGAAAAUCUGUUAAUAUAUUGUAUUAUCUCAGUAGGUCAGUAAGAAAAAAGUCAAUAAAAUUAAACCCUUAUUCCUGAAGGGCGUCGGGGGGACUCUUAGAAAACCUGGCGUGCAGAAGAACUUUUAAAACUUAAAGACAGCUGUCUUAAACUAGUCAUUGAGUGAGGGCACCUUCUCUUCAUUCAUUAAAUAAUGUUCUGGAAGCUUCGAUCCUAGCAAUAAGACAUAGAACCGAAAACUGAUAUGCUGGUGAGAAACACAAAGAUUAAAAAAUUUCUCAUUUGUACAUGAUAGGUAUGUUUAUGAAUAUAAUCAUGAAAAAGCAAGACAGUCUUGAGAAAACAACAAAAAAAUCUCUAAGAAUUUAAGGAGUGUAUAAUAACAAAUGUUAAUAUUAAAAAUUUAAAAUAAAUGUACGGAGUUCCUGUUGUGGCUCAAUGGGUUAAUAGCCACAAGGAGGCGGAUUUGAUCCCUGGCCUCGCUCAAUGGGCUGAGGAUCCAGCCUUGCCAUGAGCUGUGGUGUAGGUUGCAGAUGUGGCUCGGAUCUGGUGUUGCUGUGGUUGUGGCGUAGGCUGGCAGCUGCAGCUCCAAUUAGACCCCUCACCUGGGAACUUCCAUAU